rnacentral:rRNA from 1 species
GACGAACGCUGGCGGCGUGCUUAACACAUGCAAGUCGAACGGAACGGCCCUGCUUCUGUGGGGUGCUCGAGUGGCGAACGGGUGAGUAACACGGGAGUAACACGCCCCCGACUAUGGGAUAAUUUCAGGAAACUGGGGCUAAUACCGGAAAGGAGAUCCCGCUGAAUGGUGGGGGUUGGAAAGUUUCGGCGGUUGGGGAUGGCCUCGCGGCUUAUCAGCUUGUUGGUGGGGUACUGGCUUACCAAGGCUUUGAAAGGUAGCUGGCCUGAGAUGAUGGCCGGCCACGUUAGAACUGAGAUGCGGCCCGGACUCCAACGGGACGCAGCAGUGGAGAAGGGAACACAAGAGGCGGGGGGCUAAUGCAGCAACGCCGCGUGGGGGAAGACAGCCAGCGGGUUGUGAACCACUGUCGCCUGGGACGAGACGUUAGUGACGGUAAUGGGUGAAUAAGCACCGGCUAACUACGUG